UGACGGUAUCUUACCAGAAAGGGACGGCUAACUACGUGCCAGCAGCCGCGGUAAUACGUAGGUCCCGAGCGUUGUCCGGAUUUAUUGGGCGUAAAGCGAGCGCAGGCGGUUUAAUAAGUCUGAAGUUAAAGGCAGUGGCUUAACCAUUGUUCGCUUUGGAAACUGUUAGACUUGAGUGCAGAAGGGGAGAGUGGAAUUCCAUGUGUAGCGGUGAAAUGCGUAGAUAUAUGGAGGAACACCGGUGGCGAAAGCGGCUCUCUGGUCUGUAACUGACGCUGAGGCUCGAAAGCGUGGGGAGCAAACAGGAUUAGAUACCCUG
rnacentral:rRNA from 1 species